GUGAAGAACGUAGCGAAAUGCGAUAAGUAAUGCGAAUUGCAGAAUUCAGUGAGUCAUCGAAUCUUUGAACGCACAUUGCGCCCUGUGGUAUUCCGCAGGGCAUGCCUGUUCGAGCGUCAUUUCAACCCUCAAGCCUCGCUUGGUGUUGGGCCCUGCCCGCCGCGGCCGGCCCUAAAGAUAGUGGCGGCGCCGCCUGGCCCUCAGCGUAGUACAGCUCUCGCUCCAGGGUCCGGCGGCAGCCUGCCAGAACCCCCCAACUCUGUGGUUGACCUCGGAUCAGGUAGGGAUACCCGCUGAACUUAAGCAUAUCAAUAAGCGGAGGA
rnacentral:misc_RNA from 1 species